AAGGGACCUAGCGUAGUUCGGAAUUACUGGGCUUAAAGAGUUCGUAGGUGGUUGAAAUAGUUGGUGGUGAAAUCCCAGAGCUUAACUCUGGAACUGCCAUCAAAACUUUUCAGCUAGAGUAUGAUAGAGGAAAGCAGAAUUUCUAGUGUAGAGGUGAAAUUCGUAGAUAUUAGAAAGAAUACCAAUUGCGAAGGCAGCUUUCUGGAUCAUUACUGACACUGAGGAACGAAAGCAUGGGUAGCGAAGAGGAUUAGAUACCCUCGUAGUCCAUGCCGUAAACGAUGUGUGUUAGACGUUGGAAAUUUAUUUUCAGUGUCGCAGGGAAACCGAUAAACACACCGCCUGGGGAGUACGACCGCAAGGUUAAAACUCAAAUGAAUUGACGGGGACCCGCACAAGUAGUGGAGCAUGUGGUUUAAUUCGAAGAUACGCGCAGAACCUUACCAACACUUGACAUGUUCGUCGCGACUCUAAGAGAUUAGAGUUUUCGGUUCGGCCGGACGAAACACAGGUGCUGCAUGGCUGUCGUCAGCUCGUGUCGUGAGAUGUUGGGUUAAGUCCCGCAACGAGCGCAACCCUCACUUUUAGUUGCCAUCAUUAAGUUGGGCACUCUGAAAGAACUGCCAGUGAUAAGCUGGAGGAAGGUGGGGAUGACGUCAAGUCCUCAUGGCCCUUACGUGUUGGGCUACACACGUGCUACAAUGGUAUCUACAACAGGAAGCAAGACUGCGAAGUUAAGCAAAUCCCUAAAAGAUACCUCAGUUCGGAUUGCACUCUGCAACUCGAGUGCAUGAAGCUGGAAUUACUAGUAAUCGUGGAUCAGCGUGCCACGGUGAAUGCGUUCCCGGGUCUUGUACACACCGCCCGUCACACCAUGGGAGUUGGUUCUACCUUAAGGCAAGGUUUCAAACCCUUGACCACGGUAUAGUCAGCGACUGGGGUG
rnacentral:rRNA from 1 species